rnacentral:rRNA from 1 species
CUAGAGUUUGAUCCUGGCUCAGAGCGAACGUUAGCGGCGGGCCUAACACAUGCACACUCGAACGAGAAUGAGGGCUUCGGCCCUCUAGUAAAGUGGCGGACGGGUGCGUAACACGUGGGUAAUCUACCUUCCGGCGGGGGACAACAGUCCGAAAGGAUUGCUAAUACCGCAUACGUCAGCGGCGCCUACGGGCGCUGUUGGGAAAGAUGGCCUCUCCUUGGAAGCUGUCACCGGAAGAUGAGCCCGCGGCCCAUCAGCUAGUUGGUGAGGUAAUGGCUCACCAAGGCGAAGACGGGUAGCUGGUCUGAGAGGAUGAUCAGCCACACUGGGACUGCGACACGGCCCAGACUCCUACGGGAGGCAGCAGUGGGGAAUAUUGGGCAAUGGGCGAAAGCCUGACCCAGCCACGCCGCGUGAGUGAUGAAGGCCU